rnacentral:lncRNA from 1 species
UUUGACACAUAAAGGUGGAAUUCUAAAGGCUUAAGGUCCCCAUUUUGAUUAGAUCAAAAGAGUUUUCCCCACUCCGCGCUUACGUCGGACAGUUCUCUUUAUCAUUAAUCAAAAUGAGCGGGACCAAAAGUGGAUAACCAUGGGUCAUUCCCCGCACGGGUUCCAUCUUUUGGCACCUCCUAUGGGCUUCCUAGUGCGAUCGGGGUUUUAGAUCGCAGGUUGUGUGUGUAAAUGUGUAGUGCUAAGAUAAGUAUAAAGGCACGCACAUCAAUUGAUAUCCAAACAACACUUCAAUUUCAUCCAUAUCGGCAUACAUUCCUACGCCUCCCUACAAAAGAGAUGGGUUAACAAACACUCCACCCCUUAUUACUCCAAA